UACGAAGGGAGCUAGCGUUGUUCGGAAUGACUGGGCGUAAAGGGCGCGUAGGUGGUGUUGCAAGUCUUGUGUGAAAGCCCCGGGCUUAACCUGGGAACUGCACAGGAGACUGCAACGCUAGAGUACAGAAGGGGAAAGUGGAAUUGCGCGUGGAGAGGUGAAAUUCGUAGAGAUGCGCAAGAACACCAAUGGCGAAGGCAUCUUUCUGGUCUGUAACUGACACUGAGGCGCGAAAGCGUGGGGAGCAAACAGGAUUAGAUACCCUGGUAGUCCACGCUGUAAACGAUGAGUGCUCGAUGUAGGCGGUUUUGACCGUCUGUGUCUAAGCUAACGCGAUAAGCACUCCGCCUGGGAAGUACGGUCGCAAGAUUAAA
rnacentral:rRNA from 1 species